rnacentral:rRNA from 1 species
AAAUCCUGUCUAAUACCUUAUAUGACGCCCCGCCGCAUGGCGGGAUGUGGAAAGACAGUGUCCGACGUUCUUGAACUCGCGGCCUAUCACCUUGUUGGUGGGGUGAUGGCCUACCAAGGCGACGACGGGUAGCCGGCCUGAGAGGGUGACCGGCCACACUGGGACUGAGACACGGCCCACACUCCUACGGGAGGCAGCAGUGGGGAAUAUUGCACAAUGGGCGCAAGCCUGAUGCAGCGACGCCGCGUGAGGGAUGACGGCCUUCGGGUUGUAAACCUCUUUCAGUAAGGAAGAAGCUCUUCGGGGUGACGGUACCUGCAGAAGAAGCGCCGGCUAACUACGUGCCAUCAACCGCGGUAAUACGUAGGGCGCAAGCGUUGUCCGGAAUUAUUGGGCGUAAAGAGCUCGUAGGCGGUCUGUCGCGUCUGCUGUGAAAACGCGGGGCUCAGCCCCGCGCCUGCAGUGGGUACGGGCAGACUAGAGUGCGGUAGGGGAGACUGGAAUUCCUGGCGUAGCGGUAGUAGUGCGCAGAUAUCAGGAGGAACACUGUGUGGCGAUGGCGUGUCUCUGGGCCGUUACUGACGCUGAGGAGCGAAUGCAUGUCGAGCGAACAAGAUUAGAUACCCUGAGAAUCCAUCGCCGUAAACGUUUGGCACUAGGUGUGGGACCUAUUCCACGGGUUCCGUGACGCAGCUAACGCACUACGUGCCCCGCCUUGGG